GACGAACGCUGGCGGCGUGCUUAACACAUGCAAGUCGAACGGAGUGGCGAAAGGGUGAGUAACCGGUGGGUGAUAUGCCUUGCAAUUCGGGAUCAGCUUGGGAAACUGGGUCUAAUACCGGAUAGUGCAAGAUUAGCUCGCGGCAUAUCAGCUUGUUGGUGGGGUAAUAGCCUACCAAUUCGUCGACGUGUAGCCGGCCUGAGAGGGUGUACGGCGACAUUGGGACUGAGAUACGGCCCAGGCGGCUACGGGUGGCAGCAGUGGGGAAUAUUGCACAAUGGGCGCAAGCCUGAUGCAGCGACGCCGCGUUGGGGAUGAAGGCCUUCGGGUUGUAAACUCCUUUCGACAGGGACGCGGUACCUGUAUAAGAAGCACCGGCUAACUACGUGCCAGCAGCCGCGGUAAUAC
rnacentral:rRNA from 1 species